ensembl:lncRNA
AUAGGUUUCCAGUUCAUUUUGUAAGGAAAGCAGUUAAAAUGUUUAAGAGGAAACAACCUACCUCUAUGUUGUAAAUCACUGAGUAGGUGUCAUAUUUCAGUUUAAGUACAAUUAUUGGGUUACGGCAUUUACCUGAAAAUAUCUCGAUUGUUUGAUACUUAAUGUGUUCAUCAAAGCUGGAUGGGAGGAGCUGUGAUGUAUUUAGUAAAAUCAGUCUAUAUUUUGUGGUAAAGUAGAGAACACCAAGCGUGGUGCAUGUGUGCAUUGAUAUGCCUGUGCCGUUCCACAACAUGGUUAAUAAAGUAAGUUACUAACAACCAAAAAUGUGUUGUUACUUUACCAGUUAAGUUAUAAGAGAGAACAUAACAAACUGGUUGAGAUCCUGGAUUAAAGAGGGAAUGGGAAGGGAAGAGGAGUACAGAGGACUGAUUGGUCGGUUCGUGAGGAGAAUCACCUGAAACUGAAUGUGGCCAAAACAAAGGUGCUGGUGGUGGACUAAUUGUAAUUUAAAAUGUGAAAAUUUUAGCUGUCCUCCAUCAUUCUCCCUGAGGAGUUGAGUUACGGUGACUUUGUAUCUUCUACAAGAGACGCACAAGAGCAAGUUAAAAAAAACUGUAGAGGAAAAUAUGGCAAAGUCCCAAGACUUACAAAAGGAAGCUUAUGCUAGACGAGUCCAGAAGAAGUACAGAAACCUUGUGUACAGCGUUGGAGAUGAAGUUCUUCUCUUGAACACGAAACAUGGAAGGAAGGGAGGAAGACUUGAUCGAGAUUUUUCAGGACCCUACACCAUUCAAGACAUCGCUGGCAAAUGUGUGAGAUUAAAAAACACAGAAGGAGCAACUUUAAGAAAUCACUACAGCAUUGACCAUAUCAAGCCGUACAGAAGAAGCCACCAUGUAAAUAUCAGUGACAAGUAAAAAUACCCAACUCGCAGUCAGACAGUGAACAGCAGCACAGACCUGAAGAUGCCCCCCUGCCAUCCUACUGCUAACCCUCAGUGCCAGCAAAGUCCAGAGGAUUCAUUAUGCACCCAAAACGGCUGACACAAGGAGUUUAAUUGUGUUCCAGGACCAGAAACGCGUGAACAAGAACUUCCCUCCCAGAAACAAAGCUUAGAAAAUGAAGGUGACAUAGUGAACAACUCUUUUUGACCAGUUGGUCAUUUGUUGCCAGUUUGGCGUUGCAACUUAAUUGACUGUUGCAUGACUUUGUUUGCAUUUUGCAGUCUUCAACUCAUAUUAGAUGUAAAGAAACAUGCACUGAGCUUGUGGAAGUCUGGAAAUGGAUCUGCCUGUCAGUAAUUUUCUAUUUUGCCCACCCGCUGUACCUUUCCUAUUUCUCUGCGUGUAAAUGCAUGCCUAUUGUAUUGACUUUUUCCUGUUGUGGCCCGUCGGCCUUUACCAAGCGUAUCCACUAGAAAUCUCAUGCAUGCCUAAGCUAACUUAUCAUAUUUUUCUUUUAGUAAAGAGGCUAUGGCGUGCAAAGGAUACUGGGCGCUUGGAGGCAGCUGUUGGACCAUACAAGUUAUUUUUCGAACACUGCAGGGGUCACGGUGGUUUCUGAUGAGGUAAGAGAACUUAUCAUUAUUGAUUCUGAUUUCGAGGUUCUGCUCCUUCUGAAGCAUUUGCAGUGCAGAGACCAUUAAUAGUUUAAAAUGUGCGAGUAGGUCGGGGGGUUUGUAUUGCAAAACUCUGAUAAGGUUUCACCCAUUCACUUCAAUAGGAAAAAAUGUUAUCAACCACAACACAGAUGUUGUGACAUCAUAAUACCCAGUUCCAGUAUAUGCAGAAAGAACCUUUAUCAGCAAUUCUAUUCCUUUAGAUGUUUUUGUGUACAGCACUCAAGCAGUUACUUCAAAAAUUGUUGCUGUUGUUGUAUAAACUCAGAUUUUUCAAAACAGGUCAUUGAUGC